CGACUGGCGGCAGCUACGCAUGCAGUCGAGCGAACCUUCGGGUUAGCGGCGGACGGGUUAGUAACGCGUGGGAACGUGCCCAUCUCUGCGGAAUAGCCUCUGGAAACGGAGAGUAAUACCGCAUACGCCCUUCGGGGGAAAGAAUUUCGGAGAUGGAUCGGCCCGCGUUAGAUUAGGUAGUUGGUGGGGUAACGGCCUACCAAGCCUACGAUCUAUAGCUGGUUUGAGAGGAUGAUCAGCAACACUGGGACUGAGACACGGCCCAGACUCCUACGGGAGGCAGCAGUGGGGAAUCUUCGGCAAUGGGCGAAAGCCUGACCGAGCCAUGCCGCGUGAGCGAUGAAGGCCUUAGGGUUGUAAAGCUCUUUCGCCAGGGAUGAUAAUGACAGUACCUGGUAAAGAAACCCCGGCUAACUCCGUGCCAGCAGCCGCGGUAAUACGGAGGGGGUUAGCGUUGUUCGGAAUUACUGGGCGUAAAGCGCGCGUAGGCGGAUUGGAAAGUUAGAGGUGAAAUCCCAGGGCUCAACCCUGGAACUGCCUUUAAAACUCCCAGUCUUGAGUUCGAGAGAGGUGAGUGGAAUUCCGAGUGUAGAGGUGAAAUUCGUAGAUAUUCGGAGGAACACCAGUGGCGAAGGCGGCUCACUGGCUCGAUACUGACGCUGAGGUGCGAAAGUGUGGGGAGCAAACAGGAUUAGAUACCCUGGUAGUCCACACCGUAAACGAUGAAUGCCAGACGUCGGCAGGCAUGCCUGUCGGUGUCACACCUAACGGAUUAAGCAUUCCGCCUGGGGAGUACGGUCGCAAGAUUAAAACUCAAAGGAAUUG
rnacentral:rRNA from 1 species